UUGAGAUCGAUCCUGCUACAACAAACGCUGGCGGCGUGCCUAACACAUGCAAGUCGUACGAGAAAGGGUCCUUCGGGACCUGAGUAAAGUGGCGCACGGGUGAGUAACGCGUGGAUAAUCUGCCCCUCAGUUGGGAACAACCCACCGAAAGGUGGGCUAAUACCGAAUAAUGCUGUCCGAUGCAAGUUGGAUAGCCAAAGGGUGCCUCUGCUUGCAUGCAUCCGCUGAGGGAUGAGUCCGCGUACCAUUAGCUAGUUGGUAGGGUAAUGGCCUACCAAGGCGACGAUGGUUAGCUGGUCUGAGAGGAUGAUCAGCCACACUGGAACUGAGACACGGUCCAGACUCCUACGGGAGGCAGCAGUGAGGAAUCUUGCGCAAUGGGGGCAACCCUGACGCAGCAACGCCGCGUGAGUGAGGAAGGUCUUCGGAUCGUAAAGCUCUGUCAGUUGGGAAGAACCGCUUGGAGGUUAAUAGCCUUCUUGCUUGACGGUACCAACAGAGGAAGCACCGGCUAACUCCGUGCCAGCC
rnacentral:rRNA from 1 species